rnacentral:rRNA from 1 species
AUGGAAAAAACUGAAGAGUAUUCUCGUUUUGAGAAUAACGCUGUUCCUCAUAUUUGUGAGGAAAUUUGGUGGAUUUUGUGUUUCAACGAUUUCGUUUGAAGCAUAAUGAAAGUUUAUCUACAAUAGCGAAUUACUUUUCAGAAUAAUCUUAAUAAAUAAUACAACUAUAAGAUUAAGCGUAGUGAAGGAACAAUUUCUAUUUUUAAUUAAAUAAAAUAUUACAAAUAUAGUAUAUUUAAUUCUGCCUUUCUCUAAUAUUUGAUAUUUCAUUCAAAAUUUUUGAAAUAACAAAGCACAUAUUAGAAAUUUGAAAAUUUAAACUAUUGUCAAUUUAAAUUUUCUAAACGAAAAUAUAAAUAUAUCUAUAUUUCGAAAUUGUUCAGGACAUUUUAACAAAAUAAAAUAAUUUUGAAAAACACUGAAAAUUGUUACUAUUAAAUUUAUUGUAAAUCUAAUAUUUUAGAUUAAUCUUUUAAUUGUAUAUUCUCUAUUAACUAAAAAUAGUUGAAAUAACAAAUUGAGAGAUUAAUUUGAAAUAUUAUUUUUUAUUUCAAACCAUAAAAUAGAUUAUUAUGAAUAUAAAAAUAUUUUAGUUUUCUAUUAAAUAUUUUAUUUGACAAAAAUUUUAAUUUUUAUCAAAUAAAAUUAUUUUUUUUGAUAGUAAAUUUUAUAUCGACAAAAAUAAUAUUUUAUGAAGAAACAAUUUGAUACAUAAUAUAUUCGAAAUAUAUUUUUAUGAAAAAUAUAAAAAGUACCACCCGGACUAUUCUGAACUUGAAUACUGGAGUGGGAAUAGUCCCCACGUGAGAUUGGUCGACUCGAUGUCCGGGAAUACCACCUCUUAUCGCCCUAGCUUGGCGACUGGAGGACGCACGUUUCGUCCGCGAGAGGGUCGACUCGAUUAAGGGGAAAUCGAGAUAAUGAUUAAAAUUUUGUUAGAGACUUUUGAUUUGUUCCUACUAACUCAAUCAACAGAUAAUGUGAUAUUCAUAUUUAUAAUUAUGAAUAUAGAAAGAAUAUCUAUAGAACACUCUCUUAUAGAUAAACAUGAGAUCUU